CGUGCCUAACACAUGCAAGUCGAACGAGAAAGCUCCUUCGGGAGUGAGUAGAGUGGCGCACGGGUGAGUAACACGUGGAUAAUCUGCCUGAUAAUCUGGGAUAACAUUUCGAAAGGGAUGCUAAUACCGGAUAAGCCCACAGCCUCUUCGGAGGCAGCGGGAAAAGAUGGCCUCUUCUUGAAAGCUAUUGUUAUCAGAUGAGUCCGCGGUCCAUUAGCUAGUUGGUAGGGUAAUGGCCUACCAAGGCUACGAUGGAUAGCUGGUUUGAGAGAAUGAUCAGCCACACUGGAACUGAGACACGGUCCAGACUCCUACGGGAGGCAGCAGUGGGGAAUUUUGCGCAAUGGGGGAAACCCUGACGCAGCAACGCCGCGUGAGUGAUGAAGGUUUUCGGAUCGUAAAGCUCUGUCAAGAGGGAAGAAACCUCCAACGGCUAAUACCUGUUGGAAUUGACGGUACCUCUAGAGGAAGCACCGGCUAACUCCGUGCCAGCAGCCGCGGUAAUACGGAGGGUGCAAGCGUUGUUCGGAAUUAUUGGGCGUAAAGCGCGUGUAGGCGGUUAGUUAAGUCUGAUGUGAAAGCCCCGGGCUCAACCUGGGAAGUGCAUUGGAUACUGGCAAACUUGAGUACGGGAGAGGGAAGUGGAAUUUCGAGUGUAGGGGGUGAAAUCCGUAGAUAUUCGAAGGAACACCAGUGGCGAAGGCGGCUUCCUGGACCGAUACUGACGCUGAGACGCGAAAGCGUGGGGAGCAAACAGGAUUAGAUACCCUGGUAGUCCACGCCGUAAACGAUGGGUACUAGGUGUUGCGGGUAUUGACCCCUGCAGUGCCGAAGCUAACGCAUUAAGUACCCCGCCUGGGGA
rnacentral:rRNA from 1 species